GCUGAACAUAGUCCUGCCUAAGCAAGCCGGGUGUUGUAUUGAGGGACCCCCACAGGCUAAAAAUAGUCAGAUGUCCUUGUGCAAGUGUGCUGCCUGUUGGAAAGAAGAAGGAGAAGAAAAAGAUUAAGUGGUGUCACAGAUCUGGGCUUUGUGGGGGGUUUUCCUGCCUCGCAGCAUUAGGACCUUAGCAUCUCCGUGGAAAAGAGGCGGUGUCUGGCUGCAGUUCUGCCUCAUUGCAAAAAGAGAGAGAGGUUGAAAUGAGAGAGCCAUGGCAGGAGGAUGAGUGACAUCCGAAAUUGUGUCAGGAUUUUUUGGGGGGGUAGGGUUGUGCAGUUUCAGAAAGGCUCCCUUGCAAAGAGGCCGAGGGGCAAGGAAGGCUUGCAGCAGCUCCUGACUCCAGAGGAUCCAAAAGGCAGCCAGUGGAAAAUAAUAAUAAUACUAAAAGGCGUCCAGCAUCCUAAGGCUGGCAGGUUGGCAGGAUCCGGCCUUGGUGGGAGUGGCACAGGCAUUGUGUGUCUCUGGCUGAGCUGCCUGGCACUCCACUCGGAGGUGGCGUGUGGGUGAGUUUGGAUGCUGAAGCCUCCUUUGGGUGUGAAAUGCUUUUUUGGCUGAAAGAAGAAGAGAUGUCGCAUCAGGAGCUCACCCAGCGACUGGCUACGGUCAUCACUCAUGUGGAUGAAAUCAUGCAACAGGAGAUCAGGCCUCUUGUUGCUGUGGAUAUCAUAGAACAGCUUCACCGGCAGUUUGCCAUUUUAUCAGGAGGAAGGGGAAAGAUGGGGCACCAAUCAUUACCUUCCCAGAGUAUCCAGGCUUCAGUGAGAUCCC